rnacentral:tRNA from 1 species
UUAAGAAUGCCAGAGUGGUAUGGGUUUGCUUUAGGAGCAAAACACGGUUUAAUAACUUUCUUAAG